AUAGUAUCUAUGAUUUAGCUACUCUAGAGCCUUCCAAAGGUAUCAGGUGUGCCUUAUCCAUUAGCACAGAGAGGCACAGGGCUGAGCAGGUGAAGGGAGUACACCGCUGUGGUUUGACCUGCUCAAUAUCCCUUCUUCCUGAAACAGAAUCUAUCUUUUCUUCUUGGGGAGCCACCCCUCCACUACUUUUAGCCCUUGGCUUAGGUUCUUCUUUUAAGACUCAGUUCUACCAGGAGGUAACCUCUGGUAAAUUCUCAAAUCCUAGUGCCAGGGUUAGGCAUGCGAUCAAGGCAAUAUAUCCAAGAAGCGGUAUGGGAGGCAAUUUGAGCCAAUGAGAUGCAACUCAAUACCUGGAGCCCCUGGGCCAGAGACUUGGAGUUUGUAUAUCUGCAAUUGUUGGGGUUUUGCCUUCUCUCCAAGAAAGCCUGAGUGAGGAUGAAGACAACAGGAUAAAGCAGAAACGAGAGGGAGAGAUGGAUUCCUCCUGACACCAUUUGAGCUCCUCCUUCUCCAGCUGAGCGUGAGCUAGCCCUGCAUUUUCCCGUUGCGUGGGCUCGUAAAUUCUCUUUGUGCUUGAGUGGGUUUGAGGUAAGAAGAUGAUGGUCAUGGAUUUUGCAGUACAUCUCUGUGCCUCUCAAACUCUGGGAGAUGAUUUAC
rnacentral:lncRNA from 10 species